rnacentral:rRNA from 1 species
UACGUAGGGGGCAAGCGUUAUCCGGAUUUACUGGGUGUAAAGGGAGCGUAGACGGCGAUGCAAGCCAGAUGUGAAAGCCCGGGGCUCAACCCCGGGAAUGCAUUUGGAACUGUGUGGCUGGAGUGUCGGAGAGGCAAGUGGAAUUCCUAGUGUAGCGGUGAAAUGCGUAGAUAUUAGGAGGAACACCAGUGGCGAAGGCGGCUUGCUGGACGAUGACUGACGUUGAGGCUCGAAAGCGUGGGGAGCAAACAGG